AACGCAAAUUGCACUCUCCUCGGAGAGUAUGCAUGUUUGAGGGUCAGCCUAAAAAAAAUCGACAUCGUUGCUGUUUCGCGGUGACGUCGGAAAUUGGGUCAUCUUAAACCUUUUGGUUUUAAGCGGCUUAAAAUUUUUUCCUUACGAUUCCAUGAACGUUUCUAAGAUUUUAUUUCUUACACGUUUUAAGGCAUCGAUCUUUUAUUAGACGUGGCCGUCACAUCGGAUCGCGUUCAUAAUUUUUCGUUAACUGACCUCAGACAUGUAAGAGUACCCGCUGAACUUAA
rnacentral:misc_RNA from 1 species